AGUGAACGCUGGCGGUAGGCCUAACACAUGCAAGUCGAACGGCAGCACAGUAAGAGCUUGCUCUUACGGGUGGCGAGUGGCGGACGGGUGAGGAAUACAUCGGAAUCUACUUUUUCGUGGGGGAUAACGUAGGGAAACUUACGCUAAUACCGCAUACGACCUACGGGUGAAAGCAGGGGAUCUUCGGACCUUGCGCGAUUGAAUGAGCCGAUGUCGGAUUAGCUAGUUGGCGGGGUAAAGGCCCACCAAGGCGACGAUCCGUAGCUGGUCUGAGAGGAUGAUCAGCCACACUGGAAUUGAGACACGGUCCAGACUCCUACGGGAGGCAGCAGUGGGGAAUAUUGGACAAUGGGCGCAAGCCUGAUCCAGCCAUACCGCGUGGGUGAAGAAGUCCUUAGGGUUGUAAAGCCCUUUUGUUGGGAAAGAAAAGCAGCAGGUUAAUACCCCGCUGUUCUGACGGUACCCAAAGAAUAAGCACCGGCUAACUUCGUG
rnacentral:rRNA from 1 species